AACUGUACAGGGCCAUUGACAUGGAGCUGGGAGUAAAGAUAAUCUAGCCAGAUAACUUGGCAUGGUUUUGAGCUGAUGAAACAACGAACUGGCCAUGGAAUCAUCAAGCGACCGUGCCAAUGCCAUCUCUGUAAAGAAUGUUCUUCACAGGUGGAGGAAUCCAAGCUGGAUAAUUGGCAUUCUGACCUUCACUUUCUUCCCAAAUGCAAAUCCCAGCUUCAUUGCUGUAAACAGCCCAAAUGCUAUCAAAACUGGUCUAACUGACCGGUGAAAAUCCUCAAGAUGUUGGUACUCAGGUGCUAAAGUUAACUACCUCGACCUCAGCUGGAUCGGUCAGACUAUGCCGAGUUCCCGACGAACGAACCAAGCUUUCGAUGCACGUUUUCCCUGCAGAUGCCAGCUUGAUGUGGGAGAACCACCCUCCCAAAAAGACCACCAUCUUUGGCUCGUGGUGUUUGAAGAGUUGGUUGUUGCCAUGGUGUUGAAUCCUUCCACUCUCUAUAUCGUCCUGAUCAUAGUUUCUUGAUAGAGAUGAUGUCCUGAUUGUUUGGAGAAAAAAGGAUUCAAGGAUCAGUAAAAAGUGAUGAACGAAUGUGUUGUAUGCAGCAUGAGGCUUAACUCAUUGUUGAUAAGCAACAAAUGUGUAUUAGUGUUACCUAUUGUUCAGUUUUGGGGAAACCUGGCCUUUCUUUGAUUGCUUUCUUAUAACAUUGUAGCCAGUUGUGACAUGCCGGACAAAUUGAAGCUGAUAUUGUUGAAACAAGGAAAUUCUAUGAACAUAUGCAAUGACAUUCCUGAUACUUA